CUAUCAUGUCAGCAAUUAUCCCAAGAAAUUAUUGUAAAUUCACACUUUAACACACACGUCUAGAGAAACAACUACUCAAAUUGCCAAUUCCCAUUUAGAUGACACUGAAUGCAUUAACCAGCACAUGUUUGGGAGUCACUGAGAACUCCGCAUUGCACUUUGAACCAUUACUUCCAGUGGGAUUAAUAUAAUUCAUCUUGAAGCAACAGAUUUCUUGUAAAUGCAAGUGAGAACGGUAGAAAAUGACAAGGAAUCUAAUGCUACACCACAGGUUUCUGAACGUCGUACACAUCAAUUUAACAAGAAGUGCAAAGCAACUGUCAAAACUCAAUAGUAGCCUCGAAAACAUUUUCUUACAACCUCUCUGGUUGACACAAAUAACAAUACCAUCGAGAUGUCAGUUCAAUCUUUACCUAUAUAGCAGCAAAAUAUUCCUUGCUGAGCUUGGGAUCUGGUUUCAUAGACUUCUCCCCAGGCUUCCAUCCAGCAGGGCAUACUUCAUCUGGGUUCUCCUGAACAUAUUGCAAGGCCUGCAGAAGCAGCAUGCUACAUAAAUAGAAACUCAUUGGGCGCCCCCAGGGCAUAUCUCCCAGUGGCAAAGGGGAGAGCGGAUAGGGCUCAGCGCGGCAGUGUGCAGAGUUCGAUUCCCCGCAAGGUGGAAUUGGCUUUGUUGCAAGCGAGAGUUACCAUAUGGGUUAACAGCCUUGGCCUAUCCAUAUGCUCUCCACCCUGGCUCCUGGGAGGCACAUCCUGCGAUUUACCUCCUCCACAAUGGCUCAGGGCAGGGUCGGUGGGGGCCCCUAAGGUUGGGGUUCAACCUUUUUUUUAGAAACUCAUUGGGCUUCCUAAAAUGCGUACAAGUAAACAAACUAUGGAUGCCGAGUUAUUCAGGC
rnacentral:lncRNA from 1 species